rnacentral:misc_RNA from 1 species
UGAGCCGUAGAAGAUUGCGCUGCACUGCGGGCGCGGCAGUCCCCACCCCCUCCACCCCAGCCCCCUCUGUCCCCCCUUUACACAUAUAGCUCUCUCCCCGUGUGCAAGUACCUGUGCCCGCCCCAGUGCGCGUACAAAGACGCACCCACGCUCAUCAGCUACGGGUCUUGCCUUCUCCAUCGCAGUCUCUCGACCCGCGCACUGUAGGCUGCGUCCCCCACACAUCGACCCCCUUCUCCCUCACGCACUCUUAUUUCGUCGGCUUGAUCGACGACUUCAAGCGAACGCAACAGCAAAGACGAAAUCACUGCAAAAAUGGGCAAGACAGCGAAGGGCAGCACGGCGAUGCCGGGCAAGCUGGACACAACCGAGGCAGACAAGAGAACACCCAAGUCCAUCAUCAUCUACCGCGGCGAUGUCGGCGUUCACGUGCGCUCGCUGAUGCACGAGUGGCGCAAUGUCUUUCUCCCGUGGAGCAGCAAGAAGCUGCACGGCAAGAACAAGUCGCUGAAAGACUUCCUCGCCGUAGCCGCCACCUUCAGCGCCUCGCACCUGCAGUUGUUUACAGCCCCAUCACAGGGGACGUCGCUGCGCAUCAUGCGCUUCUUCAACGGCCCCACGCUGUCGUUUCGCGUGUUGAGCUUCACCCUUCACAAGGAGAUCGUCGCCAAGCAGCGCCGUCCCGUGGCAGUCGACCGGGCCGCAUGGGAGGUGGCGCCGAUCGUCGUGCUGAACAACUUCACACACCCCGACCUGGCGCACCGCGCGGAAGUGCCGCUGCUGAUGGCCACGUUCAAGGCACUGUUUCCAUCGCUCAACGUGCAGACGAUUCAGAGCAGCGAAAUUCAGCGCAUCUGCCUCUUUCACUACGACCACGUCGAGCACGUGGUGGAGGUGCGUCACUACUACGUGAACGCGCGCACCGUCGGUGUCACCAAGACAGUAAAGAAGCUCUUAGAAAACAGACGUCCCACCAAGCUAGGUACGCUGGAGAGCAUCGACGAGGUGCUAGACCGCGAGGACGCCUGGUCAGACACGGACGGUGAGGGAGAGGAGGUGCCGCUUGUGCAGCCCUUCCGCCAGCAUCGAGAGCAGUGCCGCGUGAAGCUGCAGGAGAUCGGUCCGCGCAUGACGCUGCAGCUGAGCAAGGUCGAGAACGGCUUUGCCGGCGGCGAGGUCAUCUACCACCGCACCGAGAAGAAGACGCUGCGCGAGGUGCAGGUGAACGCGUCGAAAGUGCGCGCACGCAAGACGGAGAAGGCGAAGCGACGCGCCCUGCAGGAUGAAAACGUGCAGCGCAAGCGUCAGAAGCGCGAAGACAGGCUCGAGCGCAAGCGCCAACGUCGCGAGGCAGCCGCCGAGGCGCAACAGGCGAACCCGUUUGAGGUAGCACACGGGGACGGCAACGGCAACGGCGAUGGCGACGGCGACGGGUACGUCGCUGGAGACGAAGAGUGAGUGAGAAGACGCCCACGGACGUGAUCAGGGACGGCUCGGCAUCCCUCUCGCUCCCCCUCAUCUCUUUCCCAAGCACGGCACCUCUGCCCCUCAACGCCUUGGCCGCCUUCUUCGUCGUCGCGUCUCGUGGCUGUUGCUCCCCUUCGGCUGCUCACCUGCCGGCGCAGCACGUGUCUCUGCCGAAUGUCGCGCGUGUGCGCCGCCUACGCGUGUACGCAUACGCAUGUCUCUGUGUGCCGCCUCCGCCCUCCUCUCUCUCUCCUAACUUCGCCGUCUGCUUCGCUUAAAAAUGUGUAGGUGGGCUCAAGAGCGUGAGGGCUAGAAAAGGUCGGGGGUGAGGGCCGAUACAGAUAACACCUGUGAUGGCCCCAAUGCAACUCGCACGCGCGCGAGUCAUGUGUGUGGAGGCCCGCUAACAGCGAAGGAGUACUAGCGACUUCUAAGGAAGAGGAAUGAAGGAGAAGGAGAGCGAGGUACAAGGGAGGGAAGAGAAGGACGUGGGCGCGUGCGGGACUUCCCUUGCCAUCGAAACACGGGUUCACGCGCAGUGGCCCCUCCUGUUCUCUCGCCCCUCGCACACCUUCCCAUUAACUCGUUCCUGUGAGACAAGCCGAUUAAGCUCCGCGUAUGUCCGUGUGAGCCCCUUCUCGUUCUUCUCUGGAAUCUCUUCUAAGCCGGCUUGCCAAGCGAUGCGCACGCAUGCAGGGCACGACCGGUGCAUGCAGAGGGAGAAGGAAACGGAGGGGUUCGGGCCGUCGCGUAGGGCGUCGCAAAGGGCUCCGACAGCGCUUCGCUGUUUGUGUCUUCCAUGUGCUUGUUUCGCGUGUACGAUGAC